rnacentral:rRNA from 1 species
UACAGAGGUCCCAAGCGUUGUUCGGAUUCACUGGGCGUAAAGCGCACGUAGGCCGAUUGUUAAGUCAGGGGUGAAAUCCUGGAGCUCAACUCCAGAACUGCCCUUGAUACUGACGGUCUCGAGUCCGGGAGAGGUGAGUGGAACUGCGAGUGUAGAGGUGAAAUUCGUAGAUAUUCGCAAGAACACCAGUGGCGAAGGCGGCUCACUGGCCCGGUACUGACGCUGAGGUGCGAAAGCGUGGGGAGCAAACAGG